rnacentral:rRNA from 1 species
GAGUUUGAUCGUGGCUCAGGAUGAACGCUGGCGGCGUGCCUAACACAUGCAAGUCGAGCGAAGCAUACAGGAGGAAGUUUUCGGAUGGAAUCCUGCAUGGCUGAGCGGCGGACGGGUGAGUAACGCGUGGGUAACCUGCCUUAUACAGGGGAUAACAGUUAGAAAUGACUGCUAAUACCGCAUAAGCGCACAGUACCGCAUGGUAGUGUGUGAAAAACUCCGGUGGUAUAAGAUGGACCGCGUCU